rnacentral:misc_RNA from 1 species
UCCGUGUUUCCACGGCAGUCCCGCUAGAGUGCCGCCUUACGACAGGCAACUAACGGCAAGGGUUGCGCUCGUUCAAGGACUUAACCCGACGUCUCACGACACGAGCUGACGACAGCCAUGCAGCACCUGUUUAACCGUCCGUAUUGCUACGGAACCCAAUAUUUCUAUCGGUAGCAGUUAUAUGUCAAGCCCAGGUAAGGUUUCUCGCGUAGUGUCGAAUUAAACCACAUGUUCCACCGCUUGUGCGGACCCCCGUCAAUUCCUUUGAGUUUUAAUCUUGCGACCGUACUUCCCAGGCGGAUCACUUAACGCGUUAGCUACGACACAGAGCAUGCUAUGCACGCCCCACAUCUAGUGAUCAUCGUUUACGGCGUGGACUAC